rfam:Anopheles darlingi Cont2945, whole genome shotgun sequence.
AAAACGGUUCUUUUUCAAGAACCACAGCACAUGGAUCACUAAGUGGAAU